CUGGAAUCUCCAUGGAGUAAAGGCAGGCACUGGGUAAUGUCAUGAAUCCAGAAAGGUAGCUGAGAAAACACUGAAUGCUUUUAAUGCUCAUUCUUCCAGACUUAAUUCAUUGUGUUUAUGCCCUGUGUUUAUGUAAAACAAUUCAUCGUGUUUCUGUGUUUCAUAUUUAUAUGAUAAUGAAUACAGUUGCUAAAAUAUUAAUGAAGUACAUCUGUACUUCAUGUUACAUAAGAUUUAUAGUCAAGAUUUAUACUGCAACUAACUAAAGGGGUUGUUUAGGGUAAAUCACAGAAUCACUGAGCCUGGAAGUAGCCUUUGGAGAUACCUCAUCCAAUCCCCUGCUCAAGCAGGGCCAGCUUGACCACAUCCACAUGGGUUUUUAAUGUUUUCACUGGGGGAGAAUGCACAACCUCUCUGCAAUCUAUUCCAGUGUUUGACCAUCACUUAAUAUUCACAUUUAUGGGUAAGAAUGGAAGUCCAGAGAGCUACAGGCCAGUCAGCCUCAUCUCCAUCCUUGAAAAGAGAUGCUUCAAGGCAAUUAAUCCUGGAAAACAUUUUCACACACAUGAAGAAAAUGAAGAUGAUUUGGAGUGAUCAGCAUGGAUUUAUGAUUUCCCUCUUGAAUGGAAGCAAGAACAACCAGGAAAUCAGCCUACAAAUAAUUAAAAAGCAACAGCCUUAUUUUUACCUGUCCCAUGAGAAGAAAACAAGAGAGUGGAGCCUGCAAAGAGAUGUGAGCAAGGUGAAAUGUACGUUCUCAGAGGGAAAUGUAAGCUUAAAUGUGAUGUUCUCUCUUCUGCUGUGUGUCUCAGGAAAAGGGGAUCUUGGAAACCCCUGAAAAUCUGCAACUUCAGUUUGCUAAACUGUAGUCAAAUGAGUAAUUCUUCACUGUCAAAAAAUAAGUGAGGUGAACUUUUUACUCUUAAAUCUUGUCUGGUAGGAAAGGAGUCUCAAGGGUAGGUGACAAGUGCCAGGUACUUCAUUUCUUUGGCAAUGAUGAAUCGCUGCUCAGGGUGAGCUAACAUAUUCACAAUCUCUGCCUUGUCCUGGAGAAUUCCUCUGUGCUGGAGCAAUUUUUUAUGGCAAAGCUGGAAGAGGCCAGGGUAUGGAGAGAGCCUUCCUUGUGGACAGAGACCUAAAGAAGACUUAUAACUUGGAGAUUACUCAGUCUAUAUUCUUCUAGAGCCAAGGAAAAGUCUCUCUCCCUCUUCCCCAUCCAGAACCACUGUCUCUUCAUACAGCCCAUCUUCUCCCUCAGGGCAGCCAGCCUAUUUUGCCAGCCCCUAGAAGUGGCAGCUCUCAGUGGCUUGAAUGUAUUACUCAGAAUGGUGUGAAGAGGUACCAGUUUCCAGAGGAGCAAAGGUGAUUUAAGACCUGUCCCUUUUGCAGCCCAAGUUCUCAGUGACUGCUAUGGGGGUCACAGGGGCUGGUAACUGCUUUGGGGAGGGAAGGCUUCCAGGAUGCUCUAGGAGAGGAAGAGACAUUAAUUCAGGGUCACAUUCAAAUUUCAAUGUGUGCAUCCUAGAAAUUUCCUCCUGACAGGGCAUAUAAGCAGAGCAGUUGAUGGAAAUGGGAAAAAUUCUGCUUUCUUACAGGCAGGGUUCAGAAUUCAAAGUAAAAAAAAAAAAUCAAAUAAAAUCAAUUGUGUUUUUUCCCCUGCA
ensembl:lncRNA